AUUGAACGCUGGCGGCAGGCCUAACACAUGCAAGUCGAGCGGCAGCGGGUCCUUCGGGAUGCCGGCGAGCGGCGGACGGGUGAGUAAUGCCUAGGAAUCUGCCUGGUAGUGGGGGAUAACGUUCGGAAACGGACGCUAAUACCGCAUACGUCCUACGGGAGAAAGUGGGGGAUCUUCGGACCUCACGCUAUCAGAUGAGCCUAGGUCGGAUUAGCUAGUUGGUGGGGUAAAGGCUCACCAAGGCGACGAUCCGUAACUGGUCUGAGAGGAUGAUCAGUCACACUGGAACUGAGACACGGUCCAGACUCCUACGGGAGGCAGCAGUGGGGAAUAUUGGACAAUGGGCGAAAGCCUGAUCCAGCCAUGCCGCGUGUGUGAAGAAGGUCUUCGGAUUGUAAAGUACUUUAAGUUGGGAGGAAGGGCAGUAAGUUAAUACCUUGCUGUUUUGGCGUUACCAACAGAAUAAGCACCGGCUAACUUCGUGCCAGCCGCCGCAGUAA
rnacentral:rRNA from 1 species